CGAUUGAAAAAUACCUCCGAAACAGAACGUUUCAUUUCUGUACAAAACUUAUCAAGAUGCAUCAGUUUGUACUAAUGGAACGAUCUGUUUUGGGUUAUAUGGUAUGAAUUGA
rnacentral:miRNA from 1 species